AUAUAUUGAUUACAUGUUGAAAUAACAUUUAGAUAUAUUGUGUUACAUAAACUAUAUUAUUACAAUUAAUUUCACCUUUUUUUUUUUUAGCCUUGUUAACAUGGCUACUGGAAAAUUUAAAAUACACAUGUGGCUCGCAUUUGUGGUUUGUGUCCUGUUUCUAUUGGAUGGUGUUGCUUUAGAGCAUCCUUCCUCCGUCCUCAUCUGGUAGGAUGUUUCCCCUCGGAUGGACACACAGGAGACCCUGUCUGAAUCCAGCCAGUGUGACCACAGACAGGUCCCCUAACCUAGGAGCUCUCGGUCUGCAGAGGGAAAACCACAACCAGCUUCUAAGACAGUGCCUCAAACACACCAAGAAACUUCCAGAAGCUGGCAGCGAGGCCUGGGACAGUCUUCCCAGCACCUUCGGAGGGAGCAUGGCCUUGCCAAUACCUUGAUCUUGGACUCCAGCCUCCAGAACGAUGAGACAAGACAUUUCUGUUGUUUAAACCACUCGGUUUGCUGUUGUGGGAGUCCCAGGAAACCCACACAGGAUUUGCAAUGCUGUUGAUUUCCACUGGACUUCCCAGUCCAACUGGUGUGUCAGCAUCAGAAUGUGAUUAAAGCUAUGGGAAUGAUAUCUGACUGACUUUUUCAGCCAUCAGUGACAGAAACCCAACUCAAAUCAAUGAAAACAGAAAAGGAAAUUUAUUGGCUCCCUUCACUGCGAAAUCUAAAGGCAAAUAGAUGGCUCCAGGCGUGACGGAUCCGGGUAUACAAACAACGCUAUCAGGGAUUGACUUCUCUCUACCUCUUGGUUCUCCUUUGUCCUGUGUUGUCAUUCUUAGGCCGGUGACACAGUGGCUGCCAAAAUCUCCCAGCUUACAACUGUGCCCAUUUAGGGACGAAGCAGUAAAAUCUCCUGCCCAAAGAUGUCAACCAAAAUCCUUGGGAGUCAAAAACUAAUGUUGUAAUGUAUGGUGAUU